rnacentral:rRNA from 1 species
CUUUGGCGGCGAGCGGCGGACGGGCUGAGUAACGCGUGGGAACAUACCCCAAAGUGAGGGAUAACUGCCCGAAAGGGUAGCUAAUACCGCAUAUGGUCUUCGGAUUAAAGGAUUAUCCGCUUUGGGAGUGGCCCGCGUCGGAUUAGGUAGUUGGUGAGGUAAUGGCUCACCAAGCCGACGAUCCGUAGCUGGUCUGAGAGGAUGAUCAGCCAGACUGGGACUGAGACACGGCCCAG